CAUUCCCGAGGGAAAUGCCGCACCCUGGGCUUUUCCCCAUCCCCCUGCUCCCUGCCCGCAGCGCCUGAGCCCGUCCCGGGGGGCUCUGCCCGGCCAGGAUGGCAGCGCGGCACGACCCCAAAGCUGUGGCAAAGCUCAUCUCCUUUGGGACGACUCAAGAACGGAAAAUGUUCCCCCACUACUUCGCCCCAGACAGGCUGGGCAUCGAGGUGCUCGGGGUGCGGGGCAGCCCCUUCCUGGGGCCAGGCUCUUACCUGGGGCCACAGGAGAACAUCCCGAAAUCCUCCAUGAGCACCCGGGGGUACGUGCUGGGAGCCAGGACAGCCCCGCGCUUCCAGCAGAAGGCUCAGUUCCCUUCCCGCACUCCCCGCUCCGUGUCCCGCAGGCCGUUUCCCCCGGUCCCGCCGCCUACGGGCCCUUCCCGGCGCAGCGCGGCCGGGGCCGGCCCGCCCCGGUUCCCUUCUCCUCCAGCAGCCGCCGCUUCCCGAGCCGCCCUCGGGACCAGGAUCUGUACCCCGGGCCCGGCACGUACGAGCUGCAGGAGCCCUCGGGCAGGAAAUUCGCGCGGCCGAUGAAAUUCGGGGCUCCCGAGCGGGCGGCGGCGCCGCGGCCCCGCCGAGGACGCGGAAGAUGACUGCGGAUAAAAAAUUCCAGAAGAAUCGGGGCAGGGAGGCCCUGGGGGUGCAGCAGAGCUGAGCAGAAACGCCUUUCCUGGGGGAAAAUCCGCAUUUCGGCCGCGGCAGCACCGGGAUAAAUCGCAUUUUUCCCAAUGGU